UAAAGAUCCGUCGGAUGGGGAUAGGCUCGCGUGACAUUAGCUAGACGGCGGGGUAACGGCCCACCGUGGCGACGAUGUCUAGGGGUUCUGAGAGGAAGGUCCCCCACACUGGAACUGAGACACGGUCCAGACUCCUACGGGAGGCAGCAGUGAGGAAUAUUGGUCAAUGGCCGGAAGGCUGAACCAGCCAUGCCGCGUGAAGGUCAGUGCCCUAUGGGCGUUAAACUUCUUUUGUGCGGGAGCAAUAAUGGUCACGUGUGGCCAGACGAGAGUACCGUACGAAUAAGCAUCGGCUAACUCCGUGCCAGCAGCCGCGGUAAUACGGGGGAUGCAAGCGUUAUCCGGAUUUAUUGGGUUUAAAGGGUGCGUAGGCUGUGAGGUAAGUCAGCGGUGAAAUGCCCCCGCUCAACGGGGUGAAGUGCCAUUGAUACUGCCUUGCUGGAAUGCGGAUGCCGUGGGAGGAAUGUGUGGUGUAGCGGUGAAAUGCAUAGAUAUCACACAGAACACCGAUUGCGAAGGCAUCUCACGAAUCCGCGAUUGACGCUGAUGCACGAAAGCGUGGGUAUCAAACAGGAUUAGAUACCCUGGUAGUCCACGCUGUAAACGAUGAUGACUAACCGUCGGCGAUACACAGUCG
rnacentral:rRNA from 1 species